rnacentral:other from 1 species
UACACCCUGCUGUGUGCGUGAAUCACGGUGAAGCUUGAGCCCAACACCGUGAAUAAGGGAGCCUCGACUCUGACAGGCGGAGCGCAUGUCGCGUCAAGCGGAAGCGCAGAUGUCUUCAGGAGGGCACCCACCUGCUGAGGGCAGGUUCAUGCCUUCCGGGUUCACGGCAUGGCGGGGUCUAG